rnacentral:rRNA from 1 species
AGUAACGCGUGAGGAACCUGCCUCAAAGAGGGGGACAACAGUUGGAAACGACUGCUAAUACCGCAUAAGCGCACAGCUUCGCAUGAAGCAGUGUGAAAAACUCCGGUGGUACAAGAUGGACCCGCGUCUGAUUAGCUGGUUGGUGAGGUAACGGCCCACCAAGGCGACGAUCAGUAGCCGGCCUGAGAGGGUGAACGGCCACAUUGGGACUGAGACACGGCCCAA